rnacentral:rRNA from 1 species
CCUACGGGUGGCUGCAGUGAGGAAUAUUGGUCAAUGGGCGCGAGCCUGAACCAGCCAAGUAGCGUGAAGGAUGACUGCCCUACGGGUUGUAAACUUCUUUUAUAUGGGAAUAAAAUGUUCCACGUGUGGCAUUUUGUAUGUACUUUAUGAAUAAGGAUCGGCUAACUCCGUGCCAGCAGCCGCGGUAAUACGGAGGAUCCGAGCGUUAUCCGGAUUUAUUGGGUUUAAAGGGAGCGUAGAUGGGUUGUUAAGUCAGUUGUGAAAGUUUGCGGCUCAACCGUAAAAUUGCAGUUGAUACUGGCAGCCUUGAGUACAGUAGAGGUAGGCGGAAUUCGUGGUGUAGCGGUGAAAUGCUUAGAUAUCACGAAGAACUCCGAUUGCGAAGGCAGCUUACUAGACUGCAACUGACACUGAUGCUCGAAAGUGUGGGUAUCAAACAGGAUUAGAUACCCUGGUAGUC